rnacentral:lncRNA from 10 species
CACAGUGAAGCUCACCCCUUUUUAGUGUACAGUUUUAUGAGUUUUAACAAAUCCAUAUAGUCAUGGAGCCACCACGAUCAGCAUAAAGAGCAUUUCCAUCAGCCCAAAAGGUUGUGCCCUGAAGCUGUCCUCUGGGGCGAACAUCCUGUGUACCCAGUGGAAUAUGUAUGACACACAUAAAAUGCUGUCCUGCUCCAAGGGGCUGAACCAGGGCUGGGUCGGUGGUGACAGGAACAGGACAGAUGGGAGACGUUCCGCUAAUGUGACUCUGGUUAAAACUAAGGUUUUCAGGUAUGAAGGAGGUGGACGUUCUGUACAGUGGAGCCACAGCCCUCCCCACCCCCUGGGUUUCUCUGACCCUGAGACCUGAUGCACAGAGAGGUUAAGACUCACACAGCCCAUGAGCGGCGGAAGUCCCGGCACUCUGUCCUUCAAUCUGCUCAUCGCAGUCACUUCCUCCUGACCGUGGACUCUUCUUCCCAGCCUUUUCCUUCAAGCUGGAGGCCCGGAAGUGUGCAGAGGACAGUGAGGGGCCUCAAGUGUGGACAUCACAUGAGUACUGAAGAAGGACCCCUAGGGCUUCCGUGAAAAGAGGCCUCCAAUUGCAAAGCUGCUUUCUAUCAGACGAGGUCACGGACAGUAGUGAGGAGUGGCAGGCGGGAGGGGUGCCUGGCUGCCGGCCCACCCCACCCAGGACGAGGCAGUCCUCAGCAGCUGGGCCAGCCCUGCUACUCCCUCAUCCUGGAAGAGCCCCAGAGAAUAGGGGCCAUGCCCAUGCCCGCUGUGUCCCCUGCACCCCACGCAGGCUGGGGCACAGCAGCCACAGGACACAGGUGCGGGGUGAGUGGGGCUCCAGGGAAAGUGGGCACCCUCAGGCCUCAGCACACGGAGGCUUCCCGCCCCCACCUCCUGGGAGGCUGCCCAGUCAGGCUCCUACCUGGGUUUCCAGGUGCCUCGGUGCUCCCCCGGGAUCCUACAGCCCUGCAUGGUGAUGGGCACACUCCUCUUGUCUUCCCCAUUAGCUUGUGAAUGCCUCCAAGGCAAGACACAGCUGGGGCCAGAUCCUGUCUUCCUUCCCCACUUACUCGCUGUGUGACCUUAAGCAAGUCACUCAACACCUCUGUGCCUAUUUCCUCAUUUGGAAAAUGAAGUUAAUAAAAGCACCUAACUUAUAUGUGUUAACUAUGGAAGAUUAAAUGAAUGCAUACAAAUAAAAUGUUGUUCCCGUCUCUAUUCCCAGUGAUCAGGGUCUCGGAAUUGCUUGCUGAAUAAAUGGCUGCCUGGACAAAGGACUUUGUCCCUCUGGCCCCCUCACGUGGACUCUCUCUGGUAAUAAGGCCGUUGCUGAGCAGCGAUGAGAGGCUGAGGAGCAUAGACGGGCACCAGGCUGCCUAGGUUCAGAUGCCAGCUGCCCCCGCUCUUUGCUGUGUAACGUUGGGGGUACUCCCUCAGCCUCUCUGUUUCUGCUGUGUAAGUGAGGAUGGCUGUGCUCCUGCCUCCCUGCAGAACUGUUGGCAGGUGAAGCAGGCAACACUUAAGAGCUGCAGUGUGGGCCCUCAUGCAGAUUUUAAUAAAAAUAACUCCCCUUCCCCUCGGUGUCCCCUUCCUCCCUCUAAAGGCUGGUAAAGAAAGGCAGGGAGGAGCGCAUUUG